CCUACGGGAGGCUGCAGUGAGGAAUAUUGGUCAAUGGACGCAAGUCUGAACCAGCCAUGCCGCGUGCAGGAAGACGGCUCAAUGAGGUGAAAACUGCUGUUGUACGAGGGAAAACGCAGAUACGCGGAUCAGUCUGAAAGUAUCGUACGAAUAAGGAUCGGCUAACUCCGUGCCAGCAGCCGCGGUAAUACGGAGGAUUCAAGCGUUAUCCGGAUUUAUUGGGUUUAAUGGGGGCGUAGGCGGUCGGUUAAGUUAGAGGUGAAAUCCCGAGGCUAACCUUCGGAAUUGCCUCUGAUACUGUUCGGCUAGAGCGUAGUUGCGGUAGGCGGAAUGUAUGGUGUAGCGGUGAAAUGCUUA
rnacentral:rRNA from 1 species